CCCAACAGGACAGUUUUCCCCAACUGCUGACUCUGUGCUGUUUGUUUUGGAGAGUGAUCCACUUCUCCAGGAUUUCUUUCAUGACUGAUUUGAAGCAUGGCUCCAGUUUUGGCAUUUUGGAUGACUGAAGUUUUUCAGUUUAACUGUUGUAAAUGCCCUGGCUUAGUCACCCAAAAGAUUCAGUUUGGGGUAGUAGAGAGGAGGGGGAGCGAGGACCUCACGCAAGAACUGACCUAAACUCUGAGGAGAAAAACUGCUCACCAAUCUUGUGGUUUGUGGAUGAGGAUCAGAACCCAUUGCUCUACAUGGGAGGGAAGGCACUGAUCACUGGAAUUUGGAAAUGUGUUGUGAGGACCCUGAAACAAACAGAAGUUUAGCCUAGAAGGAAGCCCUGGAGGAUGGAGGCAGAGCCCUGCAAAGGCUGAGGUAUAGCUGAGGUAGGGAGGGGGAGGAGGAACGUUGAAGUGCUGCCUGUUUGGCUCCCCCUGCUCCCAUUUCUGCUCUGUGAACACAACCUAAGGCAGAUCCCCUGCUGAUAUGGAGGUCACACAGUUUAUUUCUGUCACACUCACGUGGUCUUGCCAAUACCAGGGGAGCAUGAAUCAGAAGGUUAUUUUAAAACCAAAAAUCUAUGUGUCGGUUUGUAUUAUACAGCAUCGAAGGACCACUUGGGAUCAGGACUUCACCUGUCACACGCUGAAUCUGUUACAAGUGGAACAUGUGUUGUGUUGUUGAUCCUCUGAGAAAUUUCAACCCAAGAUGCAACAAGCUGUGGGAGGAGAAGGGAGGGUAAAGGAGCAGAAGUGUUGGGUGGUCUGCACAAGGCUGGGAAGGAGGCAGAAUGCUAUAUGCUAAAAACUGUCACUUGGAACUAUUUAGACAAGAAACUGAAAGACUUGGAACAGCAGAAAAGACCUUCUUUGUUUAACUAAACACUAAAAUCAUCUGAAAGAUCUGGAGUUGAUGUGGGGCUGGGGUGGGAGGAGGCAGGACAGGCAGGUGAGCAGAUUAAUGGCAUUGUUGCAGCUUGCCCAUGUAGUGUUUGGGUUCUUUAUUUCCUCAGCUAUGUUUAUCUGGUGGGAUAUUGUUGAUACAAGCUUG